UAGCUCAAGGGUUAGAGCGCCUGACUUAUAGCAGGAGGUCGUGGGUUCGAAUCCCAGC
rnacentral:tRNA from 1 species